rnacentral:rRNA from 1 species
GACGAACGCUGGCGGCGUGCUUAAUACAUGCAAGUCGACUGAACUUAAGGUAGCAAUAUUUUAAGGGAGGUGGCGCACGGGUGAGUAACACGUAGGUAAUCUGCCUUUAGGACUGACAUAACUCCGCGAAAGCGGAGCUAAUUUCAGAUGAUGCAGCGGCUCGACAUCGAGACAGUUGUUAAACCUUCGGGGCCUAAAGAUGAGCCUGCGUCUGAUUAGGUAGUUGGCGGAGUAAUAGCCCACCAAGCCAUCGAUCAGUAGCUGGUCUGAGAGGAUGAUCAGCCACACUGGGAACUGAGACACGGUCCAGACUCCUACGGGAGGCAGCAGUAAGGAAUAUUGCUCAAUGGCCGAAAGGCUGAAGCAGCAACGCCGCGUGGAGGAUGAAAU